rnacentral:ncRNA from 1 species
GGAGAAUCCUAGAUUUUCUUGAUGUUCUGUAAGUCUAACAGCAAUGCAGCAACAUGGAAGUUGCUGCAAGCAAAAGCCGGGACAUGGAUGUUACGUCUUUUGCGGUUGCGGGCAUAGAAAAAGUUAUGACAGAACAUUUAGAAAAUGUUGGAUUCGUA